rnacentral:rRNA from 1 species
UAGGAUCUCGGUUCUAUUUUGUUGGUUUUCUGAUCUGAGAUAAUGGUUAAGAGGGACAGACGGGGGCAUUCGUAUCGCUUCGUGAGAGGUGAAAUUCUUGGACCGUAGCGAGACGCCCGACUGCGAAAGCUUUUGCCAAGAAUGUCUUCAUUAAUCAAGAACGAAAGUCAGAGGUUCGAAGGCGAUCAGAUACCGCCCUAGUUCUGACCGUAAACGAUACCAACUAGCGUUCCGUCAUCGGUAAAUAUGCCUUGACGGGCAGCUUCCCGGAAACGAAAGUGUUUCGGUUCCGGGGGAAGUAUGGUUGCAAAGCUGAAACUUAAAGAGAUUGACGGAAGGGCACCACCAGGAGUGGAGCCUGCGGCUUAAUUUGACUCAACACGGGAAAACUCACCUGGCCCGGACACCGUGAGGAUUGACAGAUUGAGAGCUCUUUCUUGAUUCGGUGGUUGGUGGCGCAUGGCCGUUCGUGGUUCGUGGAUUGGUCUGUCAGGUUUAUUCCGAUAACGAGCGAGACUCUGACCUACUAAAUAGUGUCUAGAUUAUUUUUGUCUUGACGACUUCUUAGAGGGACAAGCGGUGUUCAGCCGCAUGAAGUUGAGCAAUAACAGGUCUGUGAUGCCCUCAGAUGUUCAGGGCUGC